rnacentral:misc_RNA from 1 species
AGGAUGAAGAACGUAGUGAAAUGCGAUAAGUAAUGUGAAUUGCAGAAUUCAGUGAAUCAUCGAAUCUUUGAACGCAUCUUGCGCUCCUUGGUAUUCCGAGGAGCAUGCCUGUUUGAGUGUCAUUUAAGUUCUCAACCACAUCAAUUUGUUUUUGAUGCGGCUUGGAUGUGGGGGUUUUCUUGCAGGCAUCUUCAAAGUCUGCUCCCCUAAAAUGCAUUAGCGGUAUCUGAGCAGAAGAAACUACUAUAGGUGUGAUAAUUAUCUACAUCUUAGUAUGCUGCAAAUCAGAUUGCAUUGCUUCUAAAGAGUGGAGCCUCUCUCAUGAGGAGCCACAUUUGAUGAAUUUGACCUCAAAUCAGGUAGGACUACCCGCUGAACUUAAGCAUAUCAAUAAGCGGAGGA